ensembl:snoRNA small nucleolar RNA SNORD50
AACCAGUGAUGAGCCUAUCCCGAACCUGAUACAGUUUGAUGAAAAACUGCCAAUAUGGAUCCGGCUUCUGAGAC